GCGUAGGGUUACGCAAGAGCCACUCGAGCAUGAAAUCCCAGGAACAACGUGAUUCGCUGAGAAGCCCCGGGGGAGGAAAGCCUGCACCGCCUGCCAGGACCUGCCCAGCCUGGGGCGCGCGGGCAGCCGGGCUCUCCGUGCAAAAUCGGGUGGAAGGAAAAGGAGAGCGGGCGUAGUGUUUAGUGCAGGCACAGUGGCCACAGCGAGCGAUGGAUCUCUGACUGAUUUCUUCCUGGAGGGGCGGGGAACAGGGAGGGGAAGAAAGGCGGGGGGAGUCGCGUCUGGUUCCUGCCUCCUCCCCGCUUCCUCUCUUUGCCCGCGUGCCAGGAUGGGGGAGCCCAGCGCUGUCCUCAGCAAAAGCUGGUGUGGUUUUUUUAGGUCCAAAAAUAAAGGAACCCUGGAAUGAGCCGCCCAGGUACCAGGCCUAGAGGUAAAAAAAAAAAAGAGGGAAGAGCCAGACAAGGAUGCUAUUCACUGACCUGGUUGGGUUAAAACAAAUACCCACACCCCAAAAAGGGGGGUUGGAGAGGAAGGAAGCCUUGGACGGCAAGAAUAGGCAGAAAGCUGGCAGGGCGGCCGACCAGGCCACAGGUGCGCAUACCCCCGGACCCUCCACCCCGCCGGGCGCGCGCCUGGGCCUCAGCAGGGAGUAGGAGUGCCAGCCAGUUCCCACUGGCCCACACCGACCUGGGGAUUUCCACCGUCCGGCUACGGAGACCCGUUGCCGCCGGCGCUUUCCUGCUGGGGCCACCAGAAGGCGGGGCCUCAGAGCGGGAAGCCCCUCCCUGCAGCCUCGCCAUCCCUCGGUCAGGUUGGUCAGCGGGUCAUGGCAAGCAGGAGACACAAUGCUAAUGACUCCGGCUCCACGUGGCGACCAUUCAGGAAAAAGCUGCAAUGUUCUCUCUGCCACAUUAAUCAGAGAAACACAUCAAGAGUUGUUGCGUGGAGACAGCUUUCCUCCCAGUACUCGCCCUGCAUACUAAUCACCACCCCCUCCUGAGAUGCGGUUUCACUCUGUUGCCCAGGCUAGAGUGCACUAAUACAAUCAUAGCUUACUGCACCCUCAACCUCCUGGGCUCAAGCAAUCCUCCUGCCUCAGCCUCAUGAGUAGCUGGGACUACAGGCACCACUGUGGACCCCUGCUCUGCACCCCCAGGAGGAGUGGGACUGCUUCAAGGGCAGCCUGGAGGAAAGAGGUGUGGUGUGAACACAUACAACAUGUUCCUUAACCAGGAAGGCGACUGGAGUCUUUACCUGGUUUCAAAGCAGCCAAGCCUAGAGGCCCCCACCCCUUGUUCUUUAUUAUGAUUGCCCUUUGACCCCAACCCCCCAAUUCUUUCCUCUCCAGAUCCCCAGCCAUGCAUACUCCAACUUGGUUCUGCAAAGAAUACCCAGCCACAGCUGUGAACUUGGGGAAACACAUUUUUUCUUUUUCUUUUCUUUUCUUUUUUUUUUUUUUUUGAGAGGGAGUCUCACUCUGUUGCCCAGGCUGAGGUACAGUGGCGUGAUCUUGACUCACUGCAACCUCCACCUCCCAGGUUCAAGCAAUUCUUCUGCCUAAGCCUCCUGAGUAGCUAGGACUACAGGCAUGUGCCACCACCCCCAGCUAAUUUUUGUAUUUUUAGUAGAGAUGGGGUUUCACCAUGCUGGCCAGGCUGGGCUUGAACUCCUGGCCUCAAGCAGUCCUCUCACCUUGCCUCCCAAGGUGCUAGGAUUAUAGGCUUGAGCCACCAUGCAUGUGCACGGCCAGCACAUUCAUUUUCUAUACAUAACUGUCUCCCAGCUCUUCAGGCCAACUUACCUGAUAAUGAUAAAAAUAACUAAGCUGCCAUGGAUUGGGCAGUGUGCCAAGUGCUCCAUGUAUAUUACCUUACUUAGUUUUCACAAACUCUAUGAGGUAGGUACCACUAUUAUUUACAGGUGAGGAAAUGGAGGCUCAGAGAGGUUAAGUGAAUUGAUCCAGGCCACACAGCUGGUAAGCGCCAGAGCCACUAGUGGACGCCAGGUCCAGCCAGCCCCCAGAGCCCAUGUGCUGAGCCACUGUGCUAUACUGACUCCCACUUAAUUCUCUCUUCUGGGUUGUCCCAAAGACCAAGUUCGGCUGGCCAAUUUUCCAGGACCAUCUCUCAUGGCACCUGGAGGCUUGUAGGUUCCUGGAGGACUCUCACACCUCCUUCCCACCCUUCUCCAGAUUCUCCAACUCCCUCUUGAGCAGACCCGGCCCCACUCUGGGGCACCCUGCCUUCCUGGGACCUGUCGUAACAGUCACCCACUCUGCCAGGGCCUGGCUGACCCAGGCUGGGGACCGUGGGACCCCUCUGGGCAGUGCCCCCCUACCUGGGCCCAGGUGGGUAUGGAUUUCUUUCUUCUGGGCCAUUGCACCCGCCAGAAGGUGCGGUGGGAGAGGCAGGCCCACAUUUCAGAGGGCCUUGCUGCCCCCAUGUGGCAUGAGGCUGUAGCGGCUGCAGCCUCCUCUUCCCUCCCUCCUGCCACUGCUCCCGAAGCCAAGGCUUUUGCAGGGUUGAAAAGGAAGAGAAAGAGGAGAAGCAGGAAUGUGAGAGAAAUGAGGCAGAGGGAUGGGCUAGGGAAGAGAGAAGCCCUUCUGCGUUACCUGGAAAUGCAGCAACAAUAAUAACAAAGCCAAUGUUAGGAAUGUUUAAAGGCAGCUGCCACAUAGCACUUUUUAUAGCUUGUAGACUCUCUCAUUUAAUCCUGGCACUUACAUCAAUCUGAUUAGUAGCUAUUAUUAGUUUUAUAGGUGAUGAUCCAAGGCGCAAUUAUUUGUUCCCCAGCUAGUAGGUGACAGAGCCCAGAUUGAAUCUGACUCCAGAACCCUAACCACGAUAUUCCCCUGUCUAGAAGGAGCCAGUUCUCUCCUGCAACCCCCACUGCUCAGCCUCUAGGAGUUCCAGCCACCAGCCACCUGCACCCUCCCUUCCAUGUGGCUUUGCCCUCUGUUCUUCUCCUCUCCACUCUCUCUCCAAGGUCCAAGUGGUCAAGGUCAUCCCAAGGGUCUGCUGGGACCGUGUGUCCUUAUUCUGUGCCUUGCUGGUCGCCAACCUUCCCCAUCUGCCAAGGACUGAUGUCCAGCCCAGGCCCAGGUGCAGGUGCCCAGGUCAUUUUUGCCACUGAGUAAAGGGAGACAGAAUGACAGGGUAAAUUACCAACCACCAGAACACCAUGGAGCCAAUAGCAUCAAUGCAAGUGAAGUAUAUUUAUCUGUUGGCCUGAAAACAUGUCCUAGUAUAUUGUCCCAUUAAGCAAAAAGCAGGUUAUAAAGCUGUGUACAUUAA
rnacentral:lncRNA from 1 species